GAUGAACGCUGGCGGCGUGCCUAAUACAUGCAAGUCGAGCGAACAGAUAAGGAGCUUGCUCCUUUGACGUUAGCGGCGGACGGGUGAGUAACACGUGGGUAACCUACCUAUAAGACUGGGAUAACUUCGGGAAACCGGAGCUAAUACCGGAUAACAUUUGGAACCGCAUGGCUCUAAAGUGAAAGAUGGUUUUGCUAUCACUUAUAGAUGGACCCGCGCCGUAUUAGCUAGUUGGUAAGGUAACGGCUUACCAAGGCAACGAUACGUAGCCGACCUGAGAGGGUGAUCGGCCACACUGGAACUGAGACACGGUCCAGACUCCUACGGGAGGCAGCAGUAGGGAAUCUUCCGCAAUGGGCGAAAGCCUGACGGAGCAACGCCGCGUGAGUGAUGAAGGGUUUCGGCUCGUAAAACUCUGUUAUUAGGGAAGAACAAACGUGUAAGUAACUGUGCACGUCUUGACGGUACCUAAUCAGAAAGCCACGGCUAACUACGUG
rnacentral:rRNA from 1 species